rnacentral:lncRNA from 1 species
AGGGUGAGAACGGAGUUCACCCUAAAUAGACUGAAGUCCAGUACCUCACUCACUUCGGGUCUACCCGAAGAACAAGUUACAUCAGACUCAAGGUCCGCACCUCUCAUAUCAUCGCUUAAGCUCCAGGUGGAUGGAUUCGAACUCAACGCACUCAUGGUAAGGAUGGCAGGGAACUGACCUUUGGAAAUGGUGCGGCCAACGAAGAUAAGGGAUAGAAAGGGGUUAACCGA